ensembl:lncRNA
CGAAACACUGUCGUGUUGUUCAGAGACGUAAAACAGUGCUGUGGUUGUGUUUGGAUUGUUUUUGUUGUUGUUGACGAAAUAGAGCAAAAAACAGCCACUAUGGUGUCAAAAAAGUAGUUCUAAAUGACAUCAUCCUUCAGGAAGUGACAUCAUCGAUUUGGAGGGAAAUCAACAGCACAAACACAAAGUUUCCAGGAAUCCACAACUCAGGAUUGGAAU